rnacentral:rRNA from 1 species
CAGUCGCCACGGGAAUACGGAGGGAGCUAGCGUUGUUCGGAAUUACUGGGCGUAAAGCGCGCGUAGGCGGUUACUCAAGUCAGAGGUGAAAGCCCGGGGCUCAACCCCGGAACUGCCUUUGAAACUAGGUGACUAGAAUCUUGGAGAGGUCAGUGGAAUUCCGAGUGUAGAGGUGAAAUUCGUAGAUAUUCGGAAGAACACCAGUGGCGAAGGCGACUGACUGGACAAGUAUUGACGCUGAGGUGCGAAAGCGUGGGGAGCAAACAGGAUUAGAUACCCCUGUAGUCCCUGUCUCUUAUAC